rnacentral:lncRNA from 1 species
AAUUAUCAAGAUUAUGGAGGCUUGAGAUCAUUGACUUUGGGAGCAUCACAGCCAAUAUUUGAAAAUUUGAGCAUUCAAUCAAUAUUUGAAAACACAAGUGCAAAUAAUAAAAAAACAUUGAAAAGGAAGUAUAUUAAAUCCUACUAGGAGUAUUAAUGGUUCUAUAUUAUAAAUGAAAUACACAAUCAAUUUCACCAAUUCAAUUCAACUCAACUACCAACCUUGUACAUGGAGCUUUAUUGUUUCAAUUUCCCUCCAACAAAACAUAAGAAAGAUAUAAACCGAUAAUUAAGA